rnacentral:misc_RNA from 1 species
UACGUACUGGGCGAACGUUAUUCGGAAUCACUGGGCUUAAAGGGUGCGUAGGCGGUUAAAUAAGUAGGAUGUGAAAUCCUCCGGCCCAACCGGGGAACUGCGUUCUAAACUGUUUAACUUGAGUGAGAUAGGGGUGUGCGGAACUUCCAGUGGAGCGGUGAAAUGUGUUGAUAUUGGAAGGAACGCCGGUGGCGAAAGCGGCACACUGGGUCUCAACUGACGCUGAGGCACGAAAGCCAGGGUAGCGAACGGG